rnacentral:rRNA from 1 species
GGAUUAGUGGCGAACGGGUGAGUAACACGUGGGCAAUCUGCCCUUCACUCUGGGACAAGCCCUGGAAACGGGGUCUAAUACCGGAUGACACUCCUUCCUGCAUGGGGAGGGGUUGAAAGCUCCGGCGGUGAAGGAUGAGCCCGCGGCCUAUCAGCUUGUUGGUGGGGUGAUGGCCUACCAAGGCGACGACGGGUAGCCGGCCUGAGAGGGCGACCGGCCACACUGGGACUGAGACACGGCCCAGACUCCUACGGGAGGCAGCAGUGGGGAAUAUUGCACAAUGGGCGAAAGCCUGAUGCAGCGACGCCGCGUGAGGGAUGACGGCCUUCGGGUUGUAAACCUCUUUCAGCAGGGAAGAAGCGAAAGUGACGGUACCUGCAGAAGAAGCGCCGGCUAACUACGUGCCAGCAGCCGCGGUAAUACGUAGGGCGCAAGCGUUGUCCGGAAUUAUUGGGCGUAAAGAGCUCGUAGGCGGCUUGUCACGUCGGAUGUGAAAGCCCGGGGCUUAACCCCGGGUCUGCAUUCGAUACGGGCUAGCUAGAGUG